UCCGUGGACAGCUAUACAAACUAGAGUAACUUCGGUGAAAUAGGGCUGGAAGAAACGGAAA
rnacentral:ncRNA from 12 species